rnacentral:rRNA from 1 species
GAUGAACGCUAGCGAUAGGCCUAACACAUGCAAGUCGAGGGGCAUCACAUGAAGUAGCAAUACGGAUGGUGGCGACCGGCGCACGGGUGAGUAACACGUAUGCAACCUGCCUUCAACAAGGGGAUAACCCGUUGAAAGACGGACUAAUACCCUAUAACACAGGGGUCCCGCAUGGGAAUAUUUGUUAAAGGACAACCGGUUGAAGAUGGGCAUGCGUUCCAUUAGCUAGUUGGCGGGGUAACGGCCCACCAAGGCAACGAUGGAUAGGGGAACUGAGAGGUUUAUCCCCCACACUGGUACUGAGACACGGACCAGACUCCUACGGGAGGCAGCAGUGAGGAAUAUUGGUCAAUGGACGCAAGUCUGAACCAGCCACGUCGCGUGAAGGAAGACGGCCCUACGGGUUGUAAACUUCUUUUAUACGGGAAUAAAGUGCCCCACGCGUGGGGUUUUGCAUGUACCGUAUGAAUAAGGAUCGGCUAACUCCGUGCCAGCAGCCGCGGUAAGUACGCCAGUGA